rnacentral:rRNA from 1 species
CGGAUUGGCAUGGGCGAAAGCCUGAUCAGCAAUGCCGCGUGUGUGAAGAAGGCCUUCGGGUUGUAAAGCACUUUUGUCCGGAAAGAAAUGGCUCUGGUUAAUACCUGGGGUCGAUGACGGUACCGGAAGAAUAAGGACCGGCUAAUUACGUGCCAGCAGCCGCGGUAAUACGUAGGGUCCAAGCGUUAAUCGGAAUUACUGGGCGUAAAGCGUGCGCAGGCGGUUGUGCAAGACCGAUGUGAAAUCCCCGAGCUUAACUUGGGAAUUGCAUUGGUGACUGCACGGCUAGAGUGUGUCAGAGGGGGGUAGAAUUCCACGUGUAGCAGUGAAAUGCGUAGAGAUGUGGAGGAAUACCGAUGGCGAAGGCAGCCCCCUGGGAUAACACUGACGCUCAUGCACGAAAGCGUGGG